rnacentral:tRNA from 1 species
GCCGCCGUGGCUCAGCUGGUAGAGCGGGUGACUCGUAAUCACCAGGUCCCGGGUUCAAAUCCCGGCGGCGGCU